CGUUCGAAGAAUGACAGCAAGCCCUACUGAGCGUGCUCCCCUCUGAGACUGGAGUGAGAGGGUCUUCUGGUAGCACAGCUUGCCCUGAAGACUCGGCUACUGCCUUCUGUGGGAGUUUCGCUUCGUACAGAGGACAAGUAGCUGGUGGUGUUGGAUUAUCCCAUUGAAGCUGGGACAGCUGUUCCUUUCUCAUAGUGAUAACUUAUUCCUGCCGUUUGUUCAUCGUUGUGCCUAAAGCAUGUCGAUGUGGCGUCAAGUACAUCGUCCAAA
rnacentral:lncRNA from 1 species